UACGGGGGGGGCAAGCGUUGUUCGGAAUUACUGGGCGUAAAGGGCUCGUAGGCGGCCAACUAAGUCAGACGUGAAAUCCCUCGGCUUAACCGGGGAACUGCGUCUGAUACUGGAUGGCUCGAGUUUGGGAGAGGGAUGCGGAACUCCAGGUGUAGCGGUGAAAUGCGUAGAUAUCUGGAGGAACACCGGUGGCGAAGGCGGCAUCCUGGACCAACACUGACGCUGAUGAGCGAAAGCCAGGGGAGCAAACGGG
rnacentral:rRNA from 1 species